GACGAACGCUGGCGGCGUGCUUAACACAUGCAAGUCGAACGAUGAAGCCUUAGCUUGCUUUGGUGGAUUAGUGGCGAACGGGUGAGUAACACGUGAGCAACGUGCCCAGGACUCUGGAAUAACCGCGGGAAACCGUGGCUAAUACCGGAUAGGUGCCGAGGCCGCAUGGUCUUCGGUUGGAAAGUUUUUGCGGUUCUGGAUCGGCUCACGGCCUAUCAGCUUGUUGGUGGGGUAAUGGCCUACCAAGGCGACGACGGGUAGCCGGCCUGAGAGGGUGACCGGCCACACUAGGACUGAGACACGGCCCAGACUCCUACGGGAGGCAGCAGUGGGGAAUAUUGCACAAUGGGCGCAAGCCUGAUGCAGCAACGCCGCGUGGGGGAUGACGGCCUUCGGGUUGUAAACCUCUUUUAGUAGGGAAGAAGCGCAAGUGACGGUACCUGCAGAAAAAGCACCGGCUAACUACGUG
rnacentral:rRNA from 1 species